UUAAGUUUACAAGAUUCAGUGUUUAUAGACGAAAAAGCAUAGCACGGUGUGGAUAAAGUACCAUGACAUAAUCUGCAUGGAUGCUAGUGAUCACUAAUCAAAUGUAAUGACAUUCCAAUUCAUUUGCUUCAUAAUAGUGCAUGCAAAACAAUACAGCUUUGCUCUUCAGUCAGCAAGUUAGUUAAUUGGUUGGAAACAAGAAAAAGAUGGCACGACUGAGCCCUCUGAGGCUUUCUUCACAGUUCCAAGAGACUUACUGCUGCGGCAUCAAGAGGUCACAGCCCCUUAUUGGAACAUCUGGUGGGAAUCCGUUACGCAUGUAUUCCUGAUUGGUUUAACCCUUGCACGGACGGGGUGUCAGCACGGCUACCGGACUGCGGUGCCACCUCCUAACAUCUACACUCUCCUUCUGGCUGGAGUGCACUUCAGAAUAUCCAGAGAGUCGUGUGCCUUGGCGGCCCAUUGAAGGCUGUAGAGCUGCUAUUUUGUAGUAACCGUAACUACAGCGUUGCAGAAUUGAAUGCAGUUGGCUGCCGCACUGUUGUUCCGGCUCUCGCUUAUCGACUUUGCCCCUGCUUGACAUGGCUCUGGUAGCUAAUGGGGUUUGGACAACAGCAAAGGACCCUGAUGCACUGCAGCUGCCAGGGAAAACAGACGCUCGUUCUUCAUUUUGUGUUACACUACCUGGAUAUGACACGGUUUUCACCCAUGUUUUAUAAGAGGGGCUGUGAAGUUUGAGAUGGGAAAAACUUGAAGUAAAAUGAGGGGCAGUAAGGUUGAAGAAAUUGAAAAAGAAAUUGCACUUUUCACUUUCCAGUGGAGAAAAGUGGUCAGAUGAAAGAAGGAGGAGGCGCAAGGGUGAAGAAAUGAAUCAACAGCAACUUGCUCACUAAAUUUCUCCUCAUCUAUCCACUCUGAUUGCACAUUCUUUUUUUCUGGCCUCUCAAUCAUGCUGUAAAUCCCCACAACUACAGCUAAUAUUGGGUUAGUGUGCUCUCCUGAAAUUCAGUGUAAUGAGAAUAAUUGCUGCCUCCAAUCGGCGUCGUGUUAACCGUGUGCAUGAGAAGAAUCCAUAUGAACGUAUCGAACCCUAACCCGUAUCUCAGAAUCUUCUGACAGCUCAGAGUUCAUUAGAAGUGACGUGUUUGCUUGAGAGUUUGUCUUUGUAAUUUUACAGUACAUACAAGGGUGUUGUUGAUAUUCCCAAUAGUCUGCUCUUUUCCUUCUGACAUCAUGCCUUUGUAUUUCAUAUAUUACUUUACCUGCCUGAUAGUUUUCUAAAUUGUUAACAUCUCCAGCGUCCAUGUUGCUGGUGCCUGGCGGCGGUCUUCUCACGACUGAACCGCUUGAGCGCCAAGUCUCCCGCGUGCACAACUUUCCCACCUCAUAACCAUAAGCCCAUGGAGUCCACAUGAGGCCAGCUUCACAUUGUAUAGCAAAUGGAAAACAUGAAUGGAAAGAGGGAGCAGUCCGACACGGAAGCAAUGUUGCGGAACACAAAAGGGGCAGAGGUCAGCGUCGUGGACUGGCGUUACAUCUGAUCUUUUACUCUGUUGUACAGAGGCCAAUUUACAGACUGUUUAACAAUUUUCUAUAGUGAGUAACAGAUUUUUUUCUUCUUCAUUUAGCCACUCUGAUGCCCCCCCUCACGCUCCUCACUCCCUCUCUCCCCACUUCUCCUCUCCUUCUCCUCGCCACCCCUCUGUGUUUCUUCCUGUUAAAAGAGAGGGGUUUUUUUCUCUCCAGUGUUACGACGUGGCUGCUCAUUGCGGCAACUGUUGGGUUUCUCUGUAAUACUUGCUAUGUUAAGUGCCUUGAGAUAAUGUAUGUUGGGAAUUGGCGCUAUACAAAUAAAACUCAAAUGAACUGAA